rnacentral:rRNA from 1 species
CGGAGCACGCCGCGUGAGUGAGAAGGUCUUCGGAUCGUAAACUCUGUUAUUAGGGAAGAACAAAUGUGUAAGUAACUAUGCACGUCUUGACGGUACCUAAUCAGAAAGCCACGGCUAACUACGUGCCAGCAGCCGCGGUAAUACGUAGGUGGCAAGCGUUAUCCGGAAUUAUUGGGCGUA